CCUACGGGAGGCAGCAGUGGGGAAUAUUGGGCAAUGGGCGCAAGCCUGACCCAGCAACGCCGCGUGAAGGAAGAAGGCUUUCGGGUUGUAAACUUCUUUUGUCAGGGAAGAGUAGAAGACGGUACCUGACGAAUAAGCCACGGCUGACUACGUGCCAGCAGCCGCGGUAAUACGUAGGUGGCAAGCGUUGUCCGGAUUUACUGGGUGUAAAGGGCGUGUAGCCGGGUUGACAAGUCAGAUGUGAAAUCCUGCGGCUUAACCGCAGAACUGCAUUUGAAACUGUUGAUCUUGAGUACUGGAGAGGCAGACGGAAUUCCUAGUGUAGCGGUGAAAUGCAUAGAUAUUAGGAGGAACACCAGUGGCGAAGGCGGUCUGCUGGACAGCAACUGACGGUGAGGCGCGAAAGCGUGGGGAGCAAACAGGAUUAGAUACCCCAGUAGUC
rnacentral:rRNA from 1 species